UACGUAGGUGACAAGCGUUGUCCGGAAUUACUGGGCGUAAAGCGUGCGUAGGUGGUUCGUUAAGUCUGAUGUGAAAGCCCUGGGCUCAACCUGGGAAUGGCAUUGGAUACUGGCGACCUAGAGUGCGGUAGAGGGGUGUGGAAUUCCCGGUGUAGCAGUGAAAUGCGUAGAUAUCGGGAGGAACAUCUGUGGCGAAGGCGACACCCUGGACCAGCACUGACACUGAGGCACGAAAGCGUGGGGAGCAAACAGG
rnacentral:rRNA from 1 species